rnacentral:tRNA from 1 species
GACUUUAUUUAAGGUUGUUUUGAAAGCAACUUGAAAGAAAUAGUUCUUUAAAGUCA